UAUAAAUGCGACGAACUUUAUUUUAAAAAAAUACAUGAAUUUCGUGCUGGACUAAUAGCCCUCUGAAAGCUGAAGUUCAAUGUAUUCAAAGAAAAGGAACAGCACUGACUGAAGUGUAGAUGUUCUGACACAUUAAUCUCUGCCAGUGAGAUUCAUCUCUGAUCUGCAGGAACCACCUCUGGGGGGAGAACAUUGCAGUCUGAAUAGGUCUCCAAUAAGCCUGCUGGCUUGAGGCAGUGAUGGCAAUCACGGAAGUCACUCCGGACAAUCACAACAACUAUUUAUAACACUCACACGCAGAAGAAAGCUAACAACUUUGCCAAUGAUGUCUCAAAACUCUACAAUUACAUGAAGAUUAGUAGUUUCUUGUUUAUCAAGUUUCCAGGGAAGAUGAGACCUUACUUCCUUGACUUUAUCCUGCUGUUCAUUUAAUUCCUAUUGCAAAAGGAGUAAUAGUUUCUGAAGACUGGUUAUUCCUCUCCAUUUUCCAUUAAAAUAAUUGCAUCAGCAUUAAUGUACUAAGACAAGAUCAGAGACAAAGUGAUUCAUCUUCACAACAUCAAAGUCUUGGAAGGUCUCAAAUUGCUUCUUUCUACUUCUAAAGGCAAAGUUUAUUAAAGUAGCUCUCAACUGAAAUUGCACUAGUGGAUGCAUUACUUAAAUGCCCUAGUAGAAGAGUUCUAGGAACCAAGAGAACCCUACAGACCAAGAAAAGCCCAUUGAUCUACUGACCCCACCAAUAUUCUCACCUCAUCUGAAAUCUACUGUAAACAGGUAUUACUGGAUGCAGUUCUAGGCUGCCUGAAACUGCCCAAAGCACUGCAUUAAUCCAGAAAAGACUCGGUCCUACGGUGCGAAAAAUGGAGCAACCUUGAGUUCUCGGCUGUCCGUGUUAUCACCGGCUGAGAGACUACAAAACCUCCGGAAGAGACCGCAAAAAAGCAAAGACGACAUGCUGCACUAAGUGAUGCACCAAUCUCUCACAGAGAAUUAAAAAGUGCAGAAGUGGAGGGAGAGGGAAACCAGGAUCCACAAGGAAAACAGCGCACAGGAAGCAAAGCACGGAGAGGCUGGAAAGCAUCCUGGAGCACCAAGCAGACUCUAUUCAGGCACUCGUAGCCAAGCAGGCGGAGCACUACUGCCCCCACCCUCCCUGCACUCCUUGUCCCAAAGCUCUUUCCCUUGUGCCCCUAUGUCAGCUCCAAACCUCCUUCCUCAACAUCUGGGUUCUUACCGCCACCAGCUGCCUCCAACACUUGUAUGUUCACCAACUAGCCCUGAGAACUACGAACCUUACCCUCUGCACUCAAC